rnacentral:rRNA from 1 species
GUGCCCUUGUCCUACGACUAGCAGAGCAUCCUACGGGAGGCAGCAGUGGGGAAUAUUGCACAAUGGGCGCAAGCCUGAUGCAGCCAUGCCGCGUGUAUGAAGAAGGCCUUCGGGUUGUAAAGUACUUUCAGCAGUGAGGAAGGUGGGUAUGUUAAUAGCAUACUCAUUUGACGUUAGCUGCAGAAGAAGCACCGGCUAACUCCGUGCCAGCAGCCGCGGUAAUACGGAGGGUGCGAGCGUUAAUCGGAAUUACUGGGCGUAAAGCGCAUGCAGGUGGUUUGUUAAGUCAGAUGUGAAAGCCCGGGGCUCAACCUCGGAAUUGCAUUUGAAACUGGCAAACUAGAGUACUGUAGAGGGGGUAGAAUUUCAGGUGUAGCGGUGAAAUGCGUAGAGAUCUGAAGGAAUACCGGUGGCGAAGGCGGCCCCCUGGACAGAUACUGACACUCAGAUGCGAAAGCGUGGGGAGCAAACAGGAUUAGAUACCCUGGUAG